rnacentral:rRNA from 1 species
UUCCUACGGGAGGCAGCAGUGGGGAAUCUUGCACUAUGGGCGAAAGCCUGAUGCAGCGACGCCGCGUGCGGGAUGACGGCCUUCGGGUUGUAAACCGCUUUCAGCAGGGACGAAAAUGACGGUACCUGCAGAAGAAGCCCCGGCCAACUACGUGCCAGCAGCCGCGGUAAUACGUAGGGGGCGAGCGUUGUCCGGAUUUAUUGGGCGUAAAGAGCUCGUAGGCGGUUUGGUAAGUCGGAUGUGAAAUCUCCACGCUCAACGUGGAGGGGCCAUUCGGUACUGCCAUGACUAGAGUCCGGUAGAGGAAUGUGGAAUUCCCGGUGUAGCGGUGAAAUGCGCAGAGAUCGGGAGGAACACCCGUAGCGAAGGCGGCAUUCUGGGCCGGUACUGACGCUGAGGAGCGAAAGCGUGGGGAGCGAACAGGAUUAGAUACCCUGGUAGUCCACGCCGUAAACGUUGGACACUAGGUGUGGGGCGCUAUCGACGCGUUCCGUGCCGUAGCUAACGCAUUAAGUGCCCCGCCUGGGGAGUACGGCCGCAAGGCUAAAACUCAAAUGAAUUGACGGAA